GACGAACGCUGGCGGCGUGCUUAACACAUGCAAGUCGAACGGUGAAGGGGUCUGCUUUUGUGGGCCCUGGAUGAGUGGCGAACGGGUGAGUAACACGUGAGUAACCUGCCCCCUUCUUCUGGAUAACCGCAUGAAAGUGUGGCUAAUACGGGAUAUUCUGGGUCUGUCGCAUGAUGGGUCUGGGAAAGAUUGAGCCUUUGGGUGUAUUUGGUGGGGGAUGGGCUCGCGGCCUAUCAGCUUGUUGGUGGGGUGAUGGCCUACCAAGGCGGUGACGGGUAGCCGGCCUGAGAGGGUGGACGGUCACACUUGGACUGAGACACGGCCCACACUCCUACGCGAGGCAGCAGUGGGGAAUAUUGCACAAUGGGCGCAAGCCUGAUGCAGCGACGCCGCGUGAGGGAUGGAGGCCUUCGGGUUGUAAACCUCUUUCGCCAGUGAAGCAGGCCUGCUCCUUGUGGGUGGGUUGACGGUAGCUGGAUAAGAAGCGCCGGCUAACUACGUG
rnacentral:rRNA from 1 species